rnacentral:rRNA from 1 species
CCUACGGGUGGCAGCAGUGAGGAAUAUUGGUCAAUGGACGGAAGUCUGAACCAGCCAUGCCGCGUGCAGGAAGACGGCUCUAUGAGUUGUAAACUGCUUUUGUACAAGGGUAAACCUGAAUACGUGUAUUCAGCUGAAAGUACUGUACGAAUAAGGAUCGGCUAACUCCGUGCCAGCAGCCGCGGUAAUACGGAGGAUCCAAGCGUUAUCCGGAUUUAUUGUGUUUAAAGGGUGCGUAGGCGGAUUGAUAAGUUAGAGGGGAAAUGUCCGAGCUUAACUCGGGAACUGCCUCUAAUACUGGUGGUCUAGAGAGUAGAUGAGGUAGGCGGAAUGUAUGGUGUAGCGGUGAAAUGCUUAGAGAUCAUACAGAACACCGAUUGCGAAGGCAGCUUACCAAUCUAUAUCUGACGUUGAGGCACGAAAGCGUGGGGAGCAAACAGGAUUAGAUACCCUAGUAGUC